CAGCAGUGGGGAAUAUUGGACAAUGGGCGAAAGCCUGAUCCAGCAAUGCCGCGUGUGUGAAGAAGGCCUGCGGGUUGUAAAGCACUUUCAGUAGGGAAGAAAAGCCUGAGGUUAAUACCCUUGAGUCUUGACGUUACCUACAGAAGAAGCACCGGCUAACUCCGUG
rnacentral:rRNA from 1 species